CAUUAGAUGACUGAAAGAAAGUUCUGGUCUCUUAAACCAUAUAAUAGUAAUUUACGACUACUUCUAAUG
rnacentral:tRNA from 1 species